rnacentral:lncRNA from 1 species
AUGUGAAAUGAAUUAAUAAAGAAAUCAUGAAUUUUAUUUACAAGGAUACGGGCCAGGUAUAUAAGCCCAUUUUUUCUGAAAAAAUAUCAAGCUCUCAAAUGAUUUUUGCUAAGAUCCUUAUUGGGCUGAUAAUUAAACUUGACUAAACCCAAUAUAAACUGACUCCAAAUUCCUUAUGCAAAUAUGCAAAUCUGUGGUAACUGUCCAAAUACAGCAAAUACAUAUUAAAAAAAAGGAAUCAUGGGCCUUUGAAACUUAAAAGAAAAUCACCUAGAAUCUGACAUUUACAAUUUUGGCCAUUUCAAAUACAACACUUGAUAAUUAGUGCCUUCUAAUGUAUACAAAAUCAUUUGCAAUAAUAAACUAAACUAAUACACGGUCUGAUUUAAUCUUCAGCUCCAAACCCUUUUUCUAUCAACUUUAAAUCCUUUCCUUAGCUUUAGAGCUUGCCAAUCUAAUCAAUUAGUGGUCAGAUCUGCAAACUAUAGCUAAAUAAUCAAUAGCAAACAACUCUAACACAAAUCUACAUAUUUCAAAUAAAGUAAACUAUAGUAGAAUUCCUAUUCAUACUACAGCCAAAUCUGCUUGACCUACACAACAUUCUCAACCUUAAAAUCAAAAGGGGCAUUUAGUAACUGAUACCUUCAUACUAUUCAUCACUAACAUAAAAUGUUUCUAAAGUAAGAAAAGGAAAGAAGAAGACAACAUGCCAUUCAAAAUCUAUGUUUCAUCAACUACUGAUGUUGAUAGGCCAUUUCCCUUGUCCAAAUACUCCAACCAUUAUACAAAAUGACAAAACAAAUAAGUAGAAGACAAAACUAAAGCAGAUUUAAAGCUUUAAAUGGGCUAGAAAUUCCAAAAUCAUUGCAAGAAAUAAGCAAUCUAACUUUAUUGAUUCUCGAAUGUUUAAGGAAAUCAACAUUUCAUUCAAGACAAAUCAAUCCAAGCAUACAAAAGAUUAGGAAAAUACCUAGCAAAAAGAAAAAAACACCUUAAAAGAGCAAAGCAAAUUGCAGUUCUUAGCUCCGCUCAACAAAAAUCAGCAAUGAAUAUACCCAAAGUUCUAUUCCACCUUCUGAAAUCCAACCAAGAAGGACCCCAAAACAGUAGAAAACUCAAGAUUUCUUAAGAACCCUUGAAAAAAAUUUCGUUCUCAACCGUUUCCCUUUAUUUUUUUUACUCUUUGUAUGUGACCUAAUCAUUGGCAAGAGGAUCUUUUUAUAGAAGAAAUUUUAGGGCAACCAAAUCAGAUUUGUAAUUUAAAAGUACCCCCUUAACUUCUAAUUUUA